rnacentral:rRNA from 1 species
GGCGCAGCUGAUCCAUCAUGCCGCGUGUGUGAAGAAGGCCUGCGGGUUGUAAAGCACUUUAAGUGGGAAAGAAGGCUUCAAGGCUAAUAUCCUUGGAGAUUGACGUUACCCACAGAAUAAGCACCGGCUAACUCCGUGCCAGCAGCCGCGGUAAUACGGAGGGUGCGAGCGUUAAUCGGAAUUACUGGGCGUAAAGCGCGCGUAGGCGGCUUGUCAAGUCCGACGUGAAAGCCCCGGGCUCAACCUGGGAACGGCGUGGGAGACUGGCAGGCUCGAGUGCGGGAGAGGGGUGUGGAAUUUCCGGUGUAGCAGUGAAAUGCGUAGAGAUCGGAAGGAACACCAGUGGCGAAGGCGACACCCUGGACCGACACUGACGCUGAGGCGCGAAAGCGUGGGAAGCAAACAGGAUUAGAUACCCUGGUAGUCCACGCUGUAAACGAUGCGGACUAGCCGUUGGGGACGAUUGAGUCUUCAGUGGCGCAGCUAACGCGAUAAGUCCGCCGCCUGGGGAGUACGGCCGCAAGGUUAAAACUCAAAUGAAUUGACGGGGGCCCGCACAAGCGGUGGAGCAUGUGGUUUAAUUCGAUGCAACGCGAAGAACCUUAACUGGCCUUGACAUCCUGCGAAUCUUUCAGAGAUUGAGAGAGUGCCUUCGGGAACGCAGAGACAGGUGCUGCUUGGCUGUCGGCAGCUCGUGUCGUGAGAUGUGGGGUAAGUCCCGUAACAAGGGCGACCUUGCCCUCGUUGCCAGCCGUGAAGGGGGACUCUGGAAGA